rnacentral:rRNA from 1 species
CACUCCUACGGGAGGCAGCAGUGGGGAAUAUUGGACAAUGGGCGCAAGCCUGAUCCAGCCAUGCCGCGUGAGUGAUGAAGGCCCUAGGGUUGUAAAGCUCUUUCACCGGUGAAGAUAAUGACGGUAACCGGAGAAGAAGCCCCGGCUAACUUCGUGCCAGCAGCCGCGGUAAUACGAAGGGGGCUAGCGUUGUUCGGAUUUACUGGGCGUAAAGCGCACGUAGGCGGACUAUUAAGUCAGGGGUGAAAUCCCGGGGCUCAACCCCGGAACUGCCUUUGAUACUGGUAGUCUUGAGUUCGAGAGAGGUGAGUGGAAUUCCGAGUGUAGAGGUGAAAUUCGUAGUUAUUCGGAGGAACACCAGUGGCGAAGGCGGCUCACUGGCUCGAUACUGACGCUGAGGUGCGAAAGCGGGGGGAGCAAACAGGAUUAGAAACCCCUGUAGUGCCAUG